GUGGGGAAUAUUGGACAAUGGGCGAAAGCCUGAUCCAGCCAUGCCGCGUGUGUGAAGAAGGCCUUUUGGUUGUAAAGCACUUUAAGCGAGGAGGAGGCUUCUUUGGUUAAUACCCAAAGUAAGUGGACGUUACUCGCAGAAUAAGCACCGGCUAACUCUGUGCCAGCAGCCGCGGUAAUACAGAGGGUGCAAGCGUUAAUCGGAUUUACUGGGCGUAAAGCGUGCGUAGGCGGCUAAUUAAGUCAAAGGUGAAAUCCCCGAGCUUAACUUGGGAAUUGCAUUCGAUACUGGUUAGCUAGAGUAUGGGAGAGGAUGGUAGAAUUCCAGGUGUAGCGGUGAAAUGCGUAGAGAUCUGGAGGAAUACCGAUGGCGAAGGCAGCCAUCUGGCCUAAUACUGACGCUGAGGUACGAAAGCAUGGGGAGCAAACAGG
rnacentral:rRNA from 1 species